rnacentral:rRNA from 1 species
UGCCCCAGUAACGGCGAGUGAAGCGGCAACAGCUCAAAUUUGAAAUCUGGCCCUCGGGUCCGAGUUGUAAUUUGUAGAGGAUGCUUUUGGCGAGGUGCCUUCCGAGUUCCCUGGAACGGGACGCCAUAGAGGGUGAGAGCCCCGUCUGGUCGGACACCGAGCCUCUGUAAAGCUCCUUCAACGAGUCGAGUAGUUUGGGAAUGCUGCUCAAAAUGGGAGGUAUAUGUCUUCUAAAGCUAAAUAUUGGCCAGAGACCGAUAGCGCACAAGUAGAGUGAUCGAAAGAUGAAAAGCACUUUGAAAAGAGGGUUAAAAAGUACGUGAAAUUGUUGAAAGGGAAGCGCCUAUGACCAGACUUGCGCCCGGUGAAUCAUCCAGCGUUCUCGCUGGUGCACUUUGCCGGGCACAGGCCAGCAUCAGUUUGGCGCGGGGGAAAAAGGCUUCGGGAAUGUGGCUCCCUCGGGAGUGUUAUAGCCCGCUGCGUAAUACCCUGCGCCGGACUGAGGUACGCGCAUCGCAAGGAUGCUGGCGUAAUGGUCAUCAGCGACCCGUCUUGAAACACGGACCAAGGAGUCGUCUUCGUAUGCGAGUGUUCGGGUGUCAAACCCCUACGCGUAAUGAAAGUGAACGCAGGUGAGAGCUUCGGCGCAUCAUCGACCGAUCCUGAUGUUCUCGGAUGGAUUUGAGUAAGAGCAUACGGGGCCGGACCCGAAAGAAGGUGAACUAUGCCUGUAUAGGGUGAAGCCAGAGGAAACUCUGGUGGAGGCUCGCAGCGGUUCUGACGUG